rnacentral:rRNA from 1 species
UACGUAGGGUCCGAGCGUUGUCCGGAUUUAUUGGGCGUAAAGAGCUCGUAGGCGGCCCUCCACGUCGGAUGUGAAAGCUCAGGGCUCAACCCUGAGAUGCCAUUCGAUACGGGAAGGCUAGAGGUAGGUAGGGGAAAGUGGAAUUCCUGGUGUAGCGGUGAAAUGCGCAGAUAUCAGGAGGAACACCGGUGGCGAAGGCGGCUUUCUGGGCCUUACCUGACGCUGAGGAGCGAAAGCUGGGGGAGCGAACAGG